ACCCCUGGUACAGGACGUUAAAAACGUCUGAACAAUUCAAUGUAUGGCUGGAGUUUGAAAAACAAACCAUCACCUGUACAAGCUACUGCAAAUGUGCCCAUUUGAUAUACAAAUACCCCAACACAGGUUUGCUGACACCUCUAAGUAUCCUGUCUGACUGCUCAGGCCCAUC